rnacentral:rRNA from 1 species
GAUGAACGCUAGCGGCAGGCCUAACACAUGCAAGUCGAGGGGCAGCACGUAAAGUAACUUGUUACUUUUGGUGGCGACCGGCGCACGGGUGCGUAACGCGUAUAUAACCUGCCUCGAACAGGGGGAUAAUUCGGAGAAAUCUGGUCUAAUACCCCAUAACAUCAGAAUCGGCAUCGAUUUUGGUUGAAAGCUCCGGCGGUUCGAGAUGGAUAUGCGUGACAUUAGCUAGUUGGUACGGUAACGGCGUACCAAGGCAACGAUGUCUAGGGGGACUGAGAGGUUUACCCCCCACACUGGUACUGAGACACGGACCAGACUCCUACGGGAGGCAGCAGUGAGGAAUAUUGGUCAAUGGACGCAAGUCUGAACCAGCCAUGCCGCGUGCAGGAUGACGGCUCUAUGAGUUGUAACUGCUUUUGUAUUAGGGUAAACCCAGGUACGUGUACCUGGCUGAAAGUAUAAUACGAAUAAAGACCGGCUAACUCCGUGCCAGCAGCCGCGGUAAUACGGAGGGUCUAAGCGUUAUCCGGAUUUAUUGGGUUUAAAGGGUGCGUAGGCGGUUUGGUAAGUUAGAGGUGAAAGCCCGGUGCUCAACAUCGGAACUGCCUCUGAUACUGCCGAGCUAGAGAGUAGAUGCUGUGGGCGGAAUGUAUGGUGUAGCGGUGAAAUGCUUAGAGAUCAUACAGAGCACCGAUUGCGAAGGCAGCUCACAAAUCUAUAUCUGACGCUGAGGCACGAAAGCGUGGAGAGCAAACAGGAUUAGAUACCCUGGUAGUCCACGCCGUAAACGAUGAUAACUCGAUGUCGGCGAUAUACAGUCGGUGUCUAAGCGAAAGCGAUAAGUUAUCCACCUGGGGAGUACGUUCGCAAGGAUGAAACUCAAAGGAAUUGACGGGGGCCCGCACAAGCGGAGGAACAUGUGGUUUAAUUCGAUGAUACGCGAGGAACCUUACCCGGGCUUGAAAGUUAGCGACUGACUUGGAAACAGGUCUUCCCUUCGGGGCGCGAAACUAGGUGCUGCAUGGUUGUCGUCAGCUCGUGCCGUGAGGUGUCGGGUUAAGUCCCAUAACGAGCGCAACCCCUACCGUUAGUUGCCAUCAGGUCAAGCUGGGCACUCUGGCGGGACUGCCGGUGUAAGCCGAGAGGAAGGUGGGGAUGACGUCAAAUCAGCACGGCCCUUACGUCCGGGGCGACACACGUGUUACAAUGGUCGGUACAGAGGGCAGCUACCUGGUGACAGGAUGCGAAUCUCGAAAGCCGAUCUCAGUUCGGAUUGGAGGCUGAAACUCGCCUCCAUGAAGUUGGAUUCGCUAGUAAUCGCGCAUCAGCCAUGGCGCGGUGAAUACGUUCCCGGGCCUUGUACACACCGCCCGUCAAGCCAUGGAAGUUGGGGGCGCCUGAAGUUCGUGACCGCAAGGAGCGACCUAGGGCGAAACUGAUAACUAGGGC